rnacentral:rRNA from 1 species
ACGUGGAGACAGGUGGUGCAUGGCUGUCGUCAGCUCGUGUCGUGAGAUGUUGGGUUAAGUCCCGCAACGAGCGCAACCCUCACCCCUAGUUGCCACCGGGUAAAGCCGAGCACUCGAGGGGAACUGCCAGCGUCAAGCUGGAGGAAGGCGGGGAUGACGUCAAGUCAUCAUGCCACUUACGCCCUGGGCUACACACGUGCUACAAUGGCCGGUACAAAGGGACGCGAGACUGCAAAGUGGAGCUAAUCCCAAAAAACCGGUCUAAGUUCAGAUUGCAGUCUGCAACUCGACUGCAUGAAGGAGGAAUCGCUAGUAAUCGCGCAUCAGCACGGCGCGGUGAAUACGUUCCCGGGCCUUGUACACACCGCCCGUCACACCACGAAAGCUGUCUGUACUCGAAGUCGCUGAG